rnacentral:rRNA from 1 species
GACGAACGCUGGCGGCGUGCUUAACACAUGCAAGUGGAGCGACGAACCAGGCUUCGGCCUGGGGCAAAGCCGCGAACGGGUGAGUAACACGUGGGUAACGUGCCCCGAUGACCGGGACAACCCGAGGAAACUCGGGCUAAUACCGGAUGUGCUGUGCAGCCACCAGGCCGCACAGCAAAGGAAGCUUCGGCCUCCGCAUUGGGAGCGGCCCGCGGCCCAUUAGCUUGUUGGUGAGGUAACGGCUCACCAAGGCCACGAUGGGUAGCUGGUCUGAGAGGACGAUCAGCCACACUGGGACUGAGACACGGCCCAGACUCCUACGGGAGGCAGCAGUGGGGAAUCUUGCGCAAUGCGCGAAAGCGUGACGCAGCAACGCCGCGUGAGGGAAGAAGGCCUUCGGGUUGU